rnacentral:rRNA from 1 species
CUUGCUACUUUUGCCGGCGAGCGGCGGACGGGUGAGUAAUGCCUGGGAAAUUGCCCAGUCGAGGGGGAUAACAGUUGGAAACGACUGCUAAUACCGCAUACGCCCUACGGGGGAAAGCAGGGGACCUUCGGGCCUUGCGCGAUUGGAUAUGCCCAGGUGGGAUUAGCUAGUUGGUGAGGUAAUGGCUCACCAAGGCGACGAUCCCUAGCUGGUCUGAGAGGAUGAUCAGCCACACUGGAACUGAGACACGGUCCAGACUCCUACGGGAGGCAGCAGUGGGGAAUAUUGCACAAUGGGGGAAACCCUGAUGCAGCCAUGCCGCGUGUGUGAAGAAGGCCUUCGGGUUGUAAAGCACU